rnacentral:rRNA from 1 species
CAGCAGCCACGGGAAUACAGAGGGUGCAAGCGUUAAUCGGAAUUACUGGGCGUAAAGCGCGCGUAGGUGGUUUGUUAAGUUGGAUGUGAAAUCCCCGGGCUCAACCUGGGAACUGCAUCCAAAACUGGCAAGCUAGAGUAUGGUAGAGGGUGGUGGAAUUUCCUGUGUAGCGGUGAAAUGCGUAGAUAUAGGAAGGAACACCAGUGGCGAAGGCGACCACCUGGACUGAUACUGACACUGAGGUGCGAAAGCGUGGGGAGCAAACAGGAUUAGAUACCCCUGUAGUCCCUGUCUCUUAUAC